UGAACUAAGGCUGUCUGUCACAUUUGCUGGUACUCCUGGAGGGUACCAGAAGAGGGCGUCAGAUCCCAGAGUUGAUGAGUCGUGAGUCCCCCAACACGGAUGCUGGGAAGUGAACUCUGUUCCUGUGCAGAGCAGAAGGAGCCAGGACGACUCAGAGGCAGCUGUGUUACCAGAACAACACCCCAGUAUGGCUGAGGACUCCAGGAAGCUGCCACCUGAGAGCUCUCUGCAGGACUUGUAGGCAGUGCUGUAAGUGGGUCAGAGCCCUAUUCUCCGUCUGCAGCAGCAGGUGUUAUCGUGACCUUGGAGGAGGGACCCUGGUGAAACUUGUUCCAUUU
rnacentral:lncRNA from 1 species